rnacentral:rRNA from 1 species
GGGUCUUGACCCCCGCCGAACCGGCGCUAACGCACUAAGUACCCCGCCUGGGAAGUACGGUCGCAAGACUAAAACUCAAAGGAAUUGACGGGGGCCCGCACAAGCGGUGGAUCAUGUGGUUUAAUUCGAAGCAACGCGAAGAACCUUACCUGGAUUUGACAUCCUCGGACAACUCUAGAGAUAGAGCUUUCGUAGCAAUACGACCGGGAGACAGGUGCUGCAUGGCUGUCGUCAGCUCGUGUGGUGACAUGUUGGGUUAAGUCCCGCAACGAGCGCAACCCUUGUCCUUAGUUGCCAGCAUUAAGUUGGGCUCUCUAAGGAGACUGCCGUGGUUAACACGGAGGAAGGUGGGGAUGACGUCAAGUCCUCAUGGCCUUUAUAUCCAGGGCGACACACGUGAUACAAUGGACGGUACAGAGGGAAGCCAAGAGGCAACUCGGAGCUAAUCUCAAAAAGCCGUUCUCAGUUCGGAUUGGAGUCCGCAACUCGACUCCAUGAAGUUGGAAUCGCUAGUAAUCGCGGAUCAGCACGCCGCGGUGAAUACGUUCCCGGGCCUUGUACACACCGCCCGUCACACCAUGGGAGCUGACUCAACCAGAAGACGGUCAGGCUAACCGAAAGGGAGCCUCCGGCGAAGGUGGGGUUGGUGACUGGGGUGAAGUCGUAACAAGGUAGCCG